rnacentral:rRNA from 1 species
UAGGGAAUCUUCCGCAAUGGGCGAAAGCCUGACGGAGCAACGCCGCGUGAGUGAUGAAGGUCUUCGGAUCGUAAAACUCUGUUAUUAGGGAAGAAUAAAUGUGUAAGUAACUAUGCACGUCUUGACGGUACCUAAUCAGAAAGCCACGGCUAACUACGUGCCAGCAGCCGCGGUAAUACGUAGGUGGCAAGCGUUAUCCGGAAUUAUUGGGCGUAAAGCGCGCGUAGGCGGUUUUUUAAGUCUGAUGUGAAAGCCCACGGCUCAACCGUGGAGGGUCAUUGGAAACUGGAAACCUUGAGUGCAGAAGAGGAAAGUGGAAUUCCAUGUGUAGCGGUGAAAUGCGCACUUAUAUGGAGGAACCCCAGUGGCGAAGGCGACUUUCUGGUCUGUAACUGACGCUGAUGUGCGAAAGCGUGGGGAUCAAACAGG